rnacentral:rRNA from 1 species
UACGAAGGGUGCGAGCGUUAUUCGGAAUCAUUGGGUGUAAAGGGUGCGCAGGCGGUUUGUUAAGUCAGUCGUUUAAUGCUUCGGCCUAACCGAAGUUUAAUGACAGAAACUGGCAUACUAGAGUGUGGAAGAGAGGAGUGGAAUUCUCGGAGUAGCGGUAAAAUGCGUAGAUCUCGAGAGGAACACCGAUGGCGAAGGCAGCUCCUUGGUCCAUUACUGACGCUCAUGCACGAAAGCGUGGGGAGCAAACAGG